rnacentral:rRNA from 1 species
UCCUGGCUCAGAACGAACGCUGGCGGCAUGGAUUAGGCAUGCAAGUCGAACGGUGUAGCAAUACACAGUGGCGGAAGGGUGAGGAACACGUGAAUAAUCUGCCCUCAAGUUGGGAAUAACUUUCCGAAAGGAAAGCUAAUACCGAAUGUGGUUGUUUUAUCGCAUGAUGGGACAACUAAAGAUUUAUCGCUUGAGGAUGAGUUCGCGUCCCAUUAGCUAGUUGGCGGGUAACGGCCCACCAAGGCAGAGAUGGGUAGCUGGUCUGAGAGGAUGAUCAGCCACACUGGGACUGAGACACUGCCCAGACUCCUACGGGAGGCUGCAGUCGAGAAUCUUUUGCAAUGCGCGAAAGCGUGACAAAGCAAUGCCGCGUGCCGGAUGAAGGUCUUCGGAUUGUAAACGGCUGUCACUCGGGACGAAAAAUGACGGUACCGAGGGAGGAAGCCACGGCUAACUACGUGCCAGCCGCCGC